CGGGGGUGACUAGCUACUGAAUCUUCAUGUGUCAUUGAAGAUAACGUAAAGGAAAAUAAUGAUAUUACUUUACUAUUAGUGUCGUCCAAAUACUCGUGCCAGAAGACUCGGUAAGGCGAGAGACACAAACGUUAUUCGUCUUGAUCAGGCGUAAAGGGUAUGUAGGCUGCUUUAAGCAUUUAUAUUAAAAAGUUUACUAUUAUAAAAUAAAUUAUUUUAUAAUUUAAAUAUAUAUCAAUUAAAGCUAGAAUCUAAAGGAGGUUAAAACAAUGCUUAAGGUAGGAGUACUAACUGUAAAUAUUAAGUAGAGUGUUAAUGGCGAAGGCAUUUAUCCACUAAAGAUUGACGCUGAGAAACGAAGGUGAGGGCAGAAAAAAGGAUUAGAGACCCUUGUAUUCCUCACUGUCAACGAUGAAUGGUAGUCACUAAUUAGAAAUUAAUUAGAGACGAUGUUAACACGAAAACCAUUCCGCCUUGUGAGUACAACUGCAAAGUUGAAAACAAAAAAAUUAGUCGGUUUCGGAGCAAACGAAGUGAAGCAUGUUAUUUAAU
rnacentral:rRNA from 1 species